UACAGAGGGGGCAAGCGUUAUUCGGAAUUAUGGGGCGUAAAGGGCGCGUAGGCGGCUUGGCAAGUGGAAGGUGAAAUCCCUCGGCUUAACCGAGGAACUGCCCUCCAAACUGCUUGGCUUGAGACCGGGAGAGGUGAGUGGAAUUCCCAGUGUAGCGGUGAAAUGCGUAGAUAUUGGGAGGAACACCAGUGGCGAAGGCGGCUCACUGGACCGGUACUGACGCUGAUGCGCGAAAGCGUGGGGAGCAAACGGG
rnacentral:rRNA from 1 species